AAAAAAAAAAAAGAAACAUAGUAACUUCUAUAUUAGUUGUUAUUGUUGUAUGUUAGAUUUACUGUUAUAUCUAUUUUUUCAUGCUUAGCCAGGAGGAACAUACUUUUAUUAUUAAUGUAAGCUACUUAUUUCAGAAUUGUGCUGCUAUCAAUUUCUGUGAUUAUGUAAUGCAGACUAGGCAGCAACUGAUUUAAUGAAUGAAGCUGAUUCAUUGCCCUGAAGCAAGCCAAGAAAGAAAAGUAUGAUUCCAUAGCCCUGCUGGGAAGUCGGCAGUGAUGAGUUCCUCACAAGCCAAGAGGAGCUCAGAAGCGUUGGGAUGGCAAUUAGCUUACUGUGCAGAUCACUAAACACAAUGAGCUCUGAUUCUGUGCCAGUUCUGAGGCACGAGAAAGUCACAGAGCACAAGGAUGCCCAGCUUCUGUGUAACUAGGGGCUGGGGGUGACCACAGCUGCCAUCAGAACUGGCUGCAUGGCGCAGGGGAAAAAAUAAUUGACCUGGGUGUCUGAAGACCUGGAUUCCAGUUCUUCCUUCAAACAUCAGCAGACACCUCUCAGUUCCCUAAAUGCGUAUAACUCUAUUCAGCUUUCAGAUUUCACAGUGAGACAAUAUUAUGGAUAUGGUCAUAAUCCCGAAAAAUCUUCUAGGAAUGUCCUAAGACUUGAGACUGGUGAACCCUGGUGUUCUUGGUCUUUGCAAGGACUUAAGUCUACAUGUUACAGCUUUUCUCCUGGUUAUGACCCUGAAACAAAGAACACCAUGCUGUCAUCUUCUGAGGAGAGAUGGGAGUCCAGGCCCCAUUCUCUCACUUACUACCUAUAUUAAAGAAGCUGAAGAAAGCUGAAGAAACCACUCUCUCCUGUGAAAUGCCAUUGGAACUCUGCUUAGGAAGAGGACUAACUUUGCAAAAAUAUCCUGCAAACCUGCUUAUAAUAGAUGAACCUUGAGGGCAGGGGUCAAAAUAUCAGAGGACAGGGAUGAACUAGAACUACUCUGUCUGAAAAGAGAAGAGGUGGUUUCAUUUUUCUUUUUCUUUUCUUUUCUUUCUUUCUUUCUUUCUUUUCUUUUUUUUUUUUUUGAGACAGCAUCUCCCUUUGUUGCCCAAGCUGGAAUGCAGUGGUGUGAUCACUGUGGGCUCAACCUCUUGGGCUCAAGCGAUCCUUUCAUGUCAGCCUCCUGAGUAGCUGGGACUACAGGUAUGCACCACUAUGCCUGGAUAUUUAAAAAAAUUUUUGUAGACAUGGCAUAUCACCAUGUUUCCCAGGCUGGUCUCAAAAUGCUUGGCUCAAGCUAUCUUCCUGCUUUGGCCUCCCAAAGUGCUAAGAUUACAGGUGUGAGCCACUGUGCCAGCCUGUUUAACUCUUAAGGGGAGGUGACUAAUGGGAGAAGGAGUGGUGGUGGUGGUGGGGUGUGAGAUAGUAUGAUACUGCGAAAGUCACAGGUGAAAUUUCUCUGGAAAUUUCUGUUGGAAGAUGGGGUUUGAUCAUACCUACCAGUUUGCCUGGACAUUCUGAUUCAUUCCAGGUGUUCUGGCAUAAUUAUUAAUACUGCCAACUUUCAUGCCGAAGAAAGUGCCAGUUUGGAGGUAAAUUAUCUGGUAACCAUUCCGCAGGGUUGUGAAAAUUAAUGAUAAAACUUGUAUAAACAUGCUCUGUGAAUUAUAAAGCACUGUACAAAUAAAAGGAAUUAAGGGACUUAAGUUCUUUUAUUGAAUUCUCCUGUUAGAGACAAACAAAUAUGUCUAAAAUUGUUAUCUACUUUGGUCUGUUAUUGGACUGAGAUCUGUUUGGAUUUCCAUGAAAAUAAACCUGCAAGAAAAUUAAUUUUAUUUUAAGGUAGCUUAGCAUGUGCUUAACCACUUUCUAGAUUCAAUUCCUUUCAGUGGUCUGUUCUGGAUUCUCACAUGUAUGCUAGAGGUUUUCUGCUGUUUUUGUUUUUUUCAAAUUUAUGAGUCCUUUCAAAUCUGGCAUUUUACAGUUUUGAUGGAUUUUGAAUAUGGGGGAUAUCCUAAUGCCCUAGGAAUUUUUAAAACCCGUUUCAGAAGGGAAAGAGUAUAAAACGAUUAUGUGUUAAGUAUUUACCAUAAAGAAGGCAGAGUAGAGUGUCCGCCCUUAAAGAGCUAGCAAUAACCAUGUCAUGUGUCCCUUAUAUCAAACCAUAUGGGAGAGGUUUAAUUGAUUUCCCUUUUCACAUGGAAGGGAAUUGAGGCACACAGAGGUUAGAUAACUUUGUUUACUGGCUACAGCCAGUAAAGAAUUAGGAUUUAAGGACAUCUAAUCUGAGCCAAAACCUGUUGAUCAUCCAUUCAGAAGUUACAAAUAUAUAUUGAAUUCCGACUCUAUGCCAGGCACUGUGUAUAUGAGUACACUGUGGUAAGUAAAACAGGUGUGGUCCUUAUUUCUAGUUUGGUGUCAUCAUUAUCAAUCAGGCCAUCAUCUAUUAAAUAGAUAUCCCAGAUGUUUUGUUAAGUGCUUUGCUUGCAUUAUCAAUUAAAAUUGUUACAACUGUGUAUUAUUAUUAUUAUUUCUAUCUUAUAGAUGGGGAGACUGUGGCUCAAUGAGGUCAAACAAUUUGCAGUCAGGGAGUAGGGAUGCUUUGAAUAUGGCCAUCAUCUCACUGGCUCACUGUGGUAAGUACCACAUGCAGGGACUGUGGGUAGGAGUGGGAGCUGGGCUGAGAGGAGCCUAGUGGGGAAAGCCUGGAGCAACCUGACCCUUAUGGAAUCAUUUUUAAAAUAAGGAAUAGGCUUUGGUCUUGGAAAAAAAGUGUUAAAAAUGUAAUCUCUUCACAAAUUCUUGUCAAAAAUAAUGAAGUACAAAACCAUUAAAAUUAAAAAAGGUAACAGUGAUUAUUAUAAUAAACAUUAUAUGGUAAGUAAUGGUAGGUAAUAAGUGAUAUAUUUAGGUUUACUUGAAGUAAACUUUAUGAGUAUGACUUGAGAGAAUGUCUGAACCCUGAUUAGUAUUCACUUGACCUAGUUCCAGUUUUUAUCUGCUGAAUGAAGAAUGUAUCCCUGGAACAUAGAUUUAUAGGUGCUUGCAUUUGAGGCAAAUUUGACAUACUUUGCCCCUCAGUAGUUUUAUUUAUUUAUUCAUUUUUGAGACAGAGUCUCACUCUGUUGCCCAGGCUGGAGUGCAGUGGCAUGAUCUCAGCUCAUUGCAUCCUCCGUUACCCACUUCAAGCGUUUCUCCUGCCUCAGCCUCCCCAGUAGCUGGGAUUACAGGCAUGUGCCACCAUGUCCAGCUAAUUUUUUUUUUUUUUUUUUAAGUAGAGACAGGGUUUCACCAUGUUGGCCAGGCUGGUCUUGAACUCCUGACCUCAAAUGAUCUGCCUGCCUCGGCCUCCCAAAAGUACUCCUUUUAAUAUAAUUGUAGAGAUGUGUAUUUCUUUUAGUUGCUUUUAGUCUUACCAGCAUCCUUUCUUUCCCCCUCUCCUGGUUUUAGAACCUCUGUUUUCUUUGGGAACCAAAAACCCUGACAUGAAUACAGCUAACCCCAUCUCUCAUUCCACAGUCAUAGGGAUUCUCUCAAUUCCCCUGCCACAGUGAUGAAUUCAGGGAUGGGCAUGGAUCCAAGAUGAGCAAAUUCAAGUACUCCCGGGACCUUUCUGUUGCAGUUAUCAGGAAAGAUGUUUCCUUCUGAUUGGGGUUUUCUCAGUUAGCUGGGCAUGAGUCUGGUACUGCUCAUGAUCACUCUGUCUAACCUAUGUACAGAUUAGUGUCCAAGAGAUACAGGACAGACUCUGAUGACAUCAUUUGAGCCCUGGAUGCCACUUUGCCUGAAUUCAGUUUAUCUUUAAACUUUGGUCAUGUGAACUUACAAAUCUGUUUUAUUUGUUUUUGCUGGAGCUUCUUCAAAUUGUGUUUCUGUUACUUGUAACUAAAACAAUUCCCAGUUUCAGCAAUAUUCCACUGAUGCUCUAACAAUUUAAAAAUAAAACAAGUAUGAGAUCACCCUUAUUCUUGCCAUUAUAUUAGAUAAAACUGUGGGCAUCCUAGUUUCUUCACUAAAAUAUUGGUUUUCUUUUUUUUUCCAUUUCUUCCUUAAGUUCUGGUGCAUUCAGGGUGGUACUCGUGUCUGAAUAAUUACUAGUUGUACUUUUGUAGGGGGAGUGAUGCCAGGAGGACUUCUGUUCCACCAUCUUGCUGAUGUUACUCUCCCUCACUAAAACAUUGUGUGUGCAACUAGGGUCAUCUGGGCAGCUGAAAAAAAAAGUCAAAGAAAAACUAAGGCCUUCCUUUCCUAUCACCCAUCAAUGUUGGCAGAGAUGGAAAAAACAGGCACCGUUUAGGUGCUGGGAAUGGAGCAGUGAACCACACUGACAACAACUCCCUGCCUUCAUAGAACCUGCCUUCUAGAAAGGGAAGACAGAGCAAAAGGCUAGGGAGAAGCUAAUGCAGUGACUUUUAAAAGCCGCCAGCUUAGCAUAAUGUUUCCUGGAUGAAUCAUCAGUAUUUAAAAUAAUUUGAAAUAAUGCAGCAAUUAAUAGAAAACACAAAAAUCUAUGUUCAUCAAGAUACGAAAUGAUACAAGACUCUUGAUAGGGAUCCAAACAGGAUUCCUGAUCAGCAACGAAAUGCCUAAAAAAUAAACUGGAUCAAAGCUAUACUCAACUUCAAGAUGACUGUUCACUGAGAAAUGUGAAAUUAAUAUGAAAUAUGAAAGAAAACUCUUACUAUGUAAAUGAAUCACAGAAUCCAAGAAAGAUGUGCCGGAUGGGAACUAGAGGUCAUCUAGAUUGCAUUCUGUCUAAUCAGAUCAUAUGAAGGAGCCAAAGCUGUCUUCCUGUUAGCUCCAGAGUAAAAGUAGCCUGCAGCCCACACCCUGGGGUCUGAUGAAAGGACUCACACUCCAGUCUGCAUUCCUGCUGCACCUGCCAGACCCUGCUGACAAAAUUUCUGUUUCUCCAUUGACCAAAUAAAACUGCAGUGUGGCCCCUUGGAGGGUUCCAGGAAAACUGAAGCUCCACUUCUCGUUUUUUAAGUUAGCCUGCUGCCACCUGGAGCUGAAAGCUGUAAUCCCCACUCACCCUGGUGGGGACCUGACCUCUCUCCCACUGGAACCAGGUUGGUGGGAAGUAGCAAGAGAACUUGAUUUCACUCCUAUUUAGAGAGUCUAUGUUCUCUGCUUCUGGUCUCACCUUCAAAAUUAGGGCAGUGGUCUUUGAUAGGAUGAUAACAGCAAGACAGGAGAGGUAGGCAUCGGCCAAACCAUGCCACUGAAUGACAUAACAGCUGAAUGACCUCUAGCAAAUUAUUUAUCUUCUCCAGACACUUUUUUUUGUCCCUAAAAAUAGGAACAACAUUAUCUAUCUCUUAGUGUUGUGGGGGAAGAUAUGAGUACAAAAAGCAAUUGGCAUGCUAGGUGUUAAUUUAUUCUUUCUUCCCUUUUUCUCUUCCCUUCCCUUCUCUGGUCAGUGAGUGCUUCUCCCUCUUUUCUGUCUCUUAUUAUUGAAUAUCUCAUCUUUCGUAUGUGAUGUGGUGGUGAAUCCCAGGUGGGCAUUCUCACCACUUGUUAUAUCAUGGCCAAGUGCUUGGAGAAAGAUGUGAUCACAAUAUUGAAAAUUAAGUCAUUUAGAGUCAAUUUCACUUAAUUAUGCUCUCUCUCUCUGCCCCAACAUCCACCAGGCCUGCUCUCAAUGUGCAAUGUUGCUUCAUUUGGUAGUAUCCUUGGAAAAUGAGGGGUUUCAUAUAAAUGAGUUUUUAGAGCUUUUUCAAGAAAAAUUAAGCCCAUCUUUUUGUGGCAAAUUGUAGCAGGCCUUCUCUUAGGCCCAAAGGCACAGUAGCAAAUACAAUGUGUAAGUGGUAAUGGUGCUGAUGCAAGAAUUUUCUUAGAUCAGAAAGUCCCACCUGGGGAGAUUUUAACAUCUUUCACACUCAGGCCAUACCUCGGGCCAAUUACAUCAGAAUCUCUAGGGGUGGGAUCCAGGCAUCAGUAUUUUUUAAAGCUUCCAGGUGAUUCGAAUGUGCAACCAAAGAUGCGGAACCACUGCUAUUCAGUUUCUUAACGCUCGAAACCUCUGAAUGUGUCUAUGUUUCUAUGAAUUAAAAAAGAACACUAUAAUCAUGUGUUUGCUGCAGGGCAACAUUAUGGCCCACAGGGAUGGGGGUGAAUGAAGCCUCAGUCAGAAGCAGACACAUCUUUAUGGAAAUGACCAUGAGAGGCCAGCUCUGGCAAGGCAUGAGUAUUGGCCACCACAGCUGAUAGCCAUGUGCCCAUAACAAACAGUGGAAUUGUGCCAGUUUUCAAAGGGAAUUCUUACAACCAUUGUGGAAGACAGUGUGGUGAUUCCUCAAGGAUCUAGAACUAGAAAUACCAUUUGACCCAGCCAUCCCAUUACUGAGUAUAUACCCAAAGGAUUAUAAAUCAUGUUGCUAUAAAGACACAUGCACACGUAUGUUUAUUGUGGCACUAUUCACAAUAGCAAAGACUUGGAACCAACCCAAAUGCCCAUCAAUGAUAGACUGGAUUAAGAAAAUGUGGCACAUAUACACCAUGGAAUACUAUGCAACCAUAAAAAAGGAUGAGUUCAUGUCCUUUGUAGGGACAUGGAUGAAGCUGGAAACCGUCAUUCUGAGCAAACUAUUGCAAGGACAAAAAACCAAAUACUGCAUGUUCUCACUCAUAGGUGGGAAUUGAACAAUGAGAACACCUGGACACAGGAAGGGGAACAUCACACACUGGGGCCUGUCGUGGGGUGGGGGGGAGGAGGGAGGGAUAGCAUUAGGAGAUAUACCUAAUGUAAAUGACGAGUUAACGGGUGCAGCACACCAACAUGGCACAUGUAUACAUAUGUAACAAACCUGCACAUUGUGCGCAUGUACCCUAGAACUUAAAGUAUAAUAAUAAUAGAAAAAAAAAGCCAGUGGAAUUGGGCAGUAGAAUAAAGGAAACACAGAAAGUCAGAUGAGAAGGUGAAAGAAGAGAAAUGGUAUUUAAUAUAAAGGAGAGGUUAGCUGGUAAAACAUUUAAAUACCCUUCAAGGGAGAAGAUGGUUAAGUAAAACAGAUAAAAAGCCAAAGAUAAAUGAUAAAGUGAUUGAUAGUCUUUAGGCAGUAUACAUAUAUCUUCCCCAAUUAGGAUAAUUUUCUCAGAUCAAGGUUUGGGUUUGAUGAAGGUAGGUAAUAUAUUGAGAGACUGAUAUAUUGAGCUCUACAUCAGGCCAACGCACUUGGCUGAAACCUUGAAAUCUGAUGAAUGUAUUCAUUUACUAAGCAUCACCUCUAACAAGAUGAAGCAUAAAUAUUGAUAUAGAAGAAAGUGUAGAUGAAUGUAUUCAAAUAAUAGGAGGUAUUUUAUGUCAACUGAUUAGCAAGGAAGAGAAAGCACAAAGUAUCUGGUUUUCAGACACCUGGCUUACAAGUAAUCUAUGCAUAUAGAUAGUUUCCCUAGCUCCUUCCUGUCUAUUUUCUUCUCAACCCUCUACUAAAAUACAACGGGUGAAAAAUGCAACAAAACUUAUAGGUUUGAACAAAUAUUGUGGAAUCAGAAGUGGAGAAAGGGAAUAAGCUGGAAAAUAUCUGUUUAUUUUGGAGCAGUGAUUUCCAAACUUUAGUUUUGUGUCCUUUAGUCAAAUUAGUUUUACUGGGAAGGGUUAGAGAACUAAAAUAAAUUUAAAACAGAAGAAGAGUGGCCCAGGGUCCUUUAUGUUCAGUCUCCAUUAUUCUCCUUACCCUUACCCACACUGGAGAUGCUGAAGGAAGCAGAGUUUGGGAAUGAUUGGAAUAUGAGUUGCAUAGAAGGAGAUUGCUAAGAAGAUUCGGCAUUUUAUGUGGCAUUCCCACCCCUUCCUAACCCCUCUGACCUGUAUUUCCCCUUGACUUUGUCAUACUGCCUUGACCCCCAAUCAGUCAUUCCUUUGGAUCAAUAUGUGUCCUCUGCUGAAAGUACAAGCACAUUAUGAGGUCAAAGAGCCAUCAGUCCCACAUACAUGAGUGUGAACUUAAUAAUGCCACUAGCCUCCAGAUUCCUAGGUGAGUUCGUUUGUGGUGAGGAAAUGGAGCUGCAGGACGUGGGAGACGGGUAAUGCUGGGGAAGGAUGAUGGGGAAGUCCUGUUAGUGUGUCUCUAGGGAUUUUGGGGGUACCCUGGGAGCAAUGCUGCAGAAGAGGGAACAGGUUCUGAAAAGAAACAUUGCCUAUUAUUUUUUAUUUUCUGGAAUCAAUCCUGUCCCGAGGAAGGGGGUGGCAAUCUCUUUCUUCUUCCUACCACAUUUCUUGGUUUCUUGUUCCCAGUGUCUUUAUAGCAAAUGAGACUUUUGCUUAAUUAUUUACAUUGCUUGAUGAGAAAAUUGAUUCCGGUUUGUAAAUAGAUCCCUGGAUCACAGCCCAUUUAUAAGCUGAUGACUUCCUAAAAUGCACAAUUGACUGUUUUGUGUGGAAGAGAUUACCUCUAAAAAAACUGUUAAUGAGAAAUGUGUACGUUUGAACACUUAAAACAUGCUUAAAGAACAUUAAAUAUUUAUCCAAAUGUGGCACCUCUGAGGACUAUGAGGAGUUUAUGGCUUCUGUGAUUUUAACUUAGUUGCUACCACGGAGAGGACCCCAGAGCAGUGGUUCUUAACUCUUGAGAGUUAUUGAUACCUUGGGGAAUCUGAGGACUGUAUUCAUCUUCCUAUGAUAUGCAAGCACACUCCAAAUCUUGCAUGCAUUUUCAGAGGUUUCACAGAACUCCCUAAAGACUUUUGAGUUUUCAGGGUCUUUGAGCUAAGAAUUGUUACUCAAUUGACUGGAGGAGUAACACUGGCCUGUGUAUAUGAGAAAAAUCCCUAUUUGGGAAUAGGUUGUCACUUAGGAUAAGAGAGUCUAUCCCUAUCCUAUAGGGUCUACUGUAUUUAACAACUGAAAAAGGAGUCAAGGGCUUGUAUAUCUCCCAAACAAAUACAUUGGGGAGUCUGUGUUCUGCCCCUUAUACCUGGGAAAUUCACCAAGAAUCUAUAGUGCUAUAAAGAUUGAAGAUGGGACAUCCCUACAAUAUUCUUUCCUAAUGGAGGAUUUAGGAAAGACUUAUUUAUUCUCAUUCAUUCUUACUACAUCUAUUGAACACCAAUUUUGUGGAAAGUCACUGUGCUAGGUGUAGUAAGGGGACACAAAAAUGUAUAAGGCCUGCUCUUUUUUUAAGUUGCAUGCCAUUUUGUAGCAGACAUAAACUUUGUAUCCUAAUAGUAUAGGGCUCAGGAGAGCAUGCUCUGAAACUUACUGUCCCUUUCAGCUGUGUUCCUUGGGGAUGUUACUGUGCCUUGGUUUCCUCAUCUGUAAAAUGCAGAUAAUAGCAGGAUGACCAUAUAAUUUAUAAUUUAAGUCAGGAUACCUUUGUAAGUGGAGGGCUGCUAUUAAUAGUUACGCUGGGCCACAAGCACAAACUGGGCUAUCUCAGGAAAAUGAGGACCAUGAUCACUCUAGUGUGGAAAGAUUAUCCUAGGGAUUGAAGAAGGCAAUGCAUAGGACAUUAUCACAUCAUGUCUGUGGCUGGGCAAAUGUUAUCUGCUGUGAUUGGUGUUAUGGGUACCUAAAAGAAAAAGUGAUAUUUGAAUUUAUAGGGGAGACGGAUGAUUAUUUCUUAAGACCAACAUUUAUUAUAUACUCUUUAUGGGCUAUUGGCUCAAACCAGUGAAAGAAAACAAUAAAAUUAGAACUCCUUCUGCAAAACAGUCCUUUCAUGGGCAUGAUAAGUAUCUCCACUAGCUGCAACAUGUUUCUAUUCUGGUCCUGCUUUCCUGUGCAUUACAGUCCCAUCCCUUUACCUGUCUAUCAAAAGUUUUCUUCAGUUCCUCAUAGUGAUCUUUGAUUCAAUAUAUAUCUGACUGAAACAAAUGGUGGAUAGGAGGCAGGACAAACUUGCAGCUCCUGUCAGACAGAUAGAGAAGUGUGUGGAGACUCACACUGUGAGCUUUUGCUCCAAGAACUACCACAAAAACACAUCAGGAAAGCUGACAGCAUCCACAGACCCUUUGAAGGAAGCAGAUUGCUGCUGCAGGCCCAUAGAGACAGCUGAAAAACUCGAAGACAAAGGGCAUAAUCUCUUGGGAACUCUAUGGGCCUGCCCACCACCUGAUCUUACCUAUACUACCGCAGCUGAUGCUCUCUUGAAAGCACCACCUCCUGGCUGGAGGCCAACCAACACAAAACUAGCACAAUAAACAAAACUACAGCCAAGGACCCUCACAGAGUUUACUUCACUCCGUUGCCACCCCACCUGGAGCAGGUGCUGGUAUCCAUGACCAAGAGAUCUGAAGACGGUUUACAUCACAGGACUCUGUGCAAACACUCCCCAGUACCUGAAGCCCCAUAGCUCUGCUGGGCGGCUAGAUCCAGAAGAGAAAUAACAAUGACUGCAGUUAAGUUCUCUGGAAGCCCCUUUCCUAGAGGAAGGGAGAGAAUACUAUAUCACGGGAGCACGCUGCGGGACAAAAGAAUCUGAACAGCAGCCCUUGAGCCCCAGAUCUUCCCUCUGCAAUAGUCUACCCAAAUGAGAAGGAACAAGAAAAACAAUUGUGGUAAUAUGACAAAACAAAAC